AAGAUUUUAAGUUAAUUAUAAACUGUUAGCCUUCAAAGUUAAAAAUAUUUAUUUGUAGGUAAAUCUUA
rnacentral:tRNA from 1 species